rnacentral:rRNA from 1 species
UGGGGAAUAUUGCACAAUGGGCGCAAGCCUGAUGCAGCCGUGCCGCGUGUGUGAAGAAGGCCUUCGGGUUGUAAAGCACUUUCAGCGAGGAGGAAGGUGGUGAGCUUAAUACGCUCAUCAAUUGACGUUACUCGCAGAAGAAGCACCGGCUAACUCCGUGCCAGCAGCCGCGGUAAUACGGAGGGUGCAAGCGUUAAUCGGAAUUACUGGGCGUAAAGCGCACGCAGGCGGUUUGUUAAGUCAGAUGUGAAAUCCCCGGGCUCAACCUGGGAACUGCAUUUGAAACUGGCAAGCUAGAGUCUCGUAGAGGGGGGUAGAAUUCCAGGUGUAGCGGUGAAAUGCGUAGAGAUCUGGAGGAAUACCGGUGGCGAAGGCGGCCCCCCUGGACGAAGACUGACGCUCAGGUGCGAAAGCGUGGGGCAGCAAACAGGAUUAGAUACCCUGGUAGUCCACGCUGUAAAACGAUGUCGACUUUGGAGGUUGUGCCCUUGAGGCGUGGCUUCCGGAGCUAACGCGUUAAAUCGACCGCCUGGGGAGUACGGCCGCAAGGUUAAAACUCAAAUGAAUUG